AGCCUUGGUCUAAGAGGCUGCGCUUGUAACCACUUUUUAUUUUUCUUCACGAUAUCUCCGAUAAACAGAGACAUACAAGGAAGAUCAGAUAUAGAAGGUGGCAAGAUAAGAACCAUGUACUAGGACUCAUUUGCUGGAGUCUUGGGGAAGUGCCAAGCUGUACAAAACAGGUAGCAGUGAAAUGUUUAG